rnacentral:misc_RNA from 1 species
AAGUCGUAACAAGGUUUCCGUAGGUGAACCUGCGGAAGGAUCAUUAACACGUAUCCAAACGUUAAACCCCCCUGUGAACCUGUGCUCGUACGUCCGUUAGAAACUGGUAAAUCAUCGCCGAACAGUUUUCGAUUCAGGGACGUCUGCAAGGAGCGUGCAUGUUGCGCGAAGUAAGUGGCCUGGCAUCCCCAAGCACUUAAUGUCUGAAAGUGUCAUUAAACUGUGUCAGGAUGACGCAGUCACGAUCGUUGGAGGCCCACACGGCCUUAUCUUGGUUCUC